rnacentral:rRNA from 1 species
UACGGGGGGGGCAAGCGUUGUUCGGAAUUACUGGGCGUAAAGGGCUCGUAGGUGGCCAACUAAGUCAGACGUGAAAUCCCUCGGCUUAACCGGGGAACUGCGUCUGAUACUGGAUGGCUUGAGUUUGGGAGAGGGACGCGGAAUUCCAGGUGUAGCGGUGAAAUGCGUAGAGAUCGGGAGGAACACCCGUGGCGAAGGCGGCCAACUGGGCCGGACCUGACGCUGAGGCGCGAAGGCGUGGGGAGCGAACGGG